GAUGAAGAACGUAGCGAAAUGCGAUAAGUAGUGUGAAUUGCAGAAUUCAGUGAAUCAUCGAAUCUUUGAACGCACAUUGCGCCCCUUGGUAUUCCAUGGGGCAUGCCUGUUCGAGCGUCAUUUGUACCCUCAAGUUUUGCUUGGUGUUGGGCGUCUUGUCGUAUUACGACUCGCCUUAAAUACAUUGGCAGCCGGCACUUUGGCCUAGGAGCGCAGCACAUUUUGCGAUCGUAGCCCGUUGUACUGGCGUCCAUCAAGAACAUUUACCACGUUUGACCUCGGAUCAGGUAGGGAUACCCGCUGAACUUAAGCAUAUCAAUAAGCGGAGGA
rnacentral:misc_RNA from 1 species